rnacentral:lncRNA from 1 species
AAUAUAUAAUAUAUAUUCUACCGUGAGCAGAAUACUCUACGGAUGGUGACGGUAGUGUAGGUAUUAUAUAUAAUACACUGAAUAGGAAGUCGAGUUGCUGUUAUAUAUAUUUACUUAUACUGUAAAUUUAAGACUGGAAUAUUGUUGGUCGCUCAAGCUGGAGCAAGCUGGAGCUGGACCCGAUUUAAGAUGGAUCGUAUUGUAGUUAGUAGUUCUUACUGUUUACAUCAGAUGUUUAAAUAUAUUUAUGGAAAAAAUAUGGAUUUGGCACACGGAACACUCGGAGCUCGCGAAAGUACGAUAACGCAUUCGGAUACUCACUACAUAUCAUAAUAUAACGUGUAACUACAUUUUAGUAUUUUAGUGUGGGGGAGACGACCAAUAAAAUAUGUGUGCGCUCACGGUAAAUAUAUGUCUUUCAAUCACACAUAUGUGCUCACUUUACUUGCUGAACUUGCUUAUAUAUAUAACUUGCUGGAUAUGUUUUUUAAUGGCCGGUAGUUUUGAUGGCAAUGAAGGAAAUUAUUGUCCUGCGGUUCAGGAUUUUUUUGACCAGUAGUUGAUGGCAAUGGCGGAAUUUUCUUACUGCUAUAAGUAAAACAAUUUAAUUUUAUUUAUUUGUUUAUUUUUUAUUAAAAU